rnacentral:rRNA from 1 species
CCUAUGGGCGGCAGCAGUGGGGAAUAUUGGACAAUGGGGGAAACCCUUAUCCAGCGACGCCGCGUGAGGGAAGAAGGUUUUCGGAUUGUAAACCACUGUCAGUGGGGACGAUGAUGACGGUACCCACGGACUAAGCCACGGCUAACUACGUGCCAGCAGCCGCGGUAAUACGUAGUUGGCAAGCGUUCUCCGGAAUUACUGGGGGUAAAGUGAACGGAGGCGGGUGGUCAAGUCAGAAGUGAAAAUUAUGGGCUUAACUCAUAACCUGCUUCUGAAACUGAUAUUCUUGAGUGAAGUAGAGGCAAGCAGAAUUCCUUGUGUAGCGGUGAAAUGCGUAGAUAUUAGGAGGAACACCAGUGGCGAAGGCGGCUUGCUGGGCUUUUACUGACGCUGAGGUUCGAAAGCGUGGGGAGCAAACAGGAUUAGAUACCCUUGUAGUC